GUGUCAAGGCCCGGGAACGUAUUCACCGUGGCAUGCUGAUCCACGAUUACUAGCAAUUCCAACUUCAUGCAGGCGAGUUGCAGCCUGCAAUCCGAACUGGGACGGCUUUUUGCGAUUUGCUCCACCUCGCGGCUUUGCUUCGCUUUGUUGACCGCCAUUGUAUUACGUGUGUAGCCCAGGACAUAAGGGGCAUGAUGAUUUGACGUCGUCCCCGCCUUCCUCCGUUUUGUCAACGGCAGUCUCGCUAGAGUGCUCUUGCGUAGCAACUAACAAUAAGGGUUGCGCUCGUUGCGGGACUUAACCCAACAUCUCACGACACGAGCUGACGACAACCAUGCACCACCUGUCUCCACUUUCCCCGAAGGGCACCUAAUGUAUCUCUACUUCGUUAGUGGGAUGUCAAAUCCUGGUAAGGUUCUUCGCGUUGCGUCGAAUUAAACCACAUAAUCCACUGCUUGUGCGGGCCCCCGUCAAUUCCUUUGAGUUUCAACCUUGCGGUCGUACUCCCCAGGUGGAAUACUUAUUGUGUUAACUGCGGCACGGA
rnacentral:rRNA from 1 species